AGAGUAUUAGGAGGACCUUUAUCUAAUACGAAUGGACGAAAAAGGACGCACCUCUGGUGUACCAGUUAUUGUGCCCACGAUAAAUGCUGAGUAGCUAGGUGUGGAGUGGAUAACUGCUGAAAGCAUCUAAGUAGUAAGCUCACCCCACGAUGAGUGCUCU
rnacentral:ncRNA from 1 species